CAGCAGUAGGGAAUCUUCCACAAUGGACGAAAGUCUGAUGGAGCAACGCCGCGUGAGUGAAGAAGGUUUUCGGAUCGUAAAACUCUGUUGUUGGAGAAGAACGUAUUUGAUAGUAACUGAUCAGGUAGUGACGGUAUCCAACCAGAAAGCCACGGCUAACUACGUGCCAGCAGCCGCGGUAAUACGUAGGUGGCAAGCGUUGUCCGGAUUUAUUGGGCGUAAAGCGAGCGCAGGCGGUUUCUUAAGUCUGAUGUGAAAGCCUUCGGCUCAACCGAAGAAGUGCAUCGGAAACUGGGAAACUUGAGUGCAGAAGAGGACAGUGGAACUCCAUGUGUAGCGGUGAAAUGCGUAGAUAUAUGGAAGAACACCAGUGGCGAAGGCGGCUGUCUGGUCUGUAACUGACGCUGAGGCUCGAAAGCAUGGGUAGCAAACAGGAUUAGA
rnacentral:rRNA from 1 species